AACGAACGCUGGCGGCAUGCCUAACACAUGCAAGUCGAACGAGACCUUCGGGUCUAUUGGCGCACGGGUGCGUAACGCGUGGGAACCUGCCCUUAGGUUCGGAAUAACUCCCCGAAAGGGGUGCUAAUACCGGAUAAUGUCUUCGGACCAAAGAUUUAUCGCCUUUGGAUGGGCCCGCGUUGGAUUAGCUAGUUGGUAGGGUAAAAGCCUACCAAGGCGACGAUCCAUAGCUGGUCUGAGAGGAUGAUCAGCCACAAUGGGACUGAGACACGGCCCAGACUCGUACGGGAGGCAGCAGUGGGGAAUAUUGGACAAUGGGCGAAAGCCUGAUACAGCAAUGCCGCGUGAGUGAUGAAGGCCUUAGGGUUGUAAAGCUCUUUUACCCGGGAUGAUAAUGACAGUACCGGGAGAAUAAGCACCGGCUAACUACGUG
rnacentral:rRNA from 1 species